UACAGAGGGUGCAAGCGUUAAUCGGAGUUACUGGGCGUAAAGGGCGCGUAGGCGGUUAUUUAAGUGAGAUGUGAAAUCCCUGGGCUUAACCUAGGAACUGCAUCUUAUACUGGGUAACUGGAGUACUGUAGAGGGUAGUGGAAUUUCCGGUGUAGCGGUGAAAUGCGUAGAGAUCGGAAGGAACACCAGUGGCGAAGGCGGCUACCUGGACAGAUACUGACGCUGAGGCGCGAGAGCGUGGGGAGCAAACGGG
rnacentral:rRNA from 1 species